rnacentral:rRNA from 1 species
UACAGAGGGUGCAAGCGUUAAUCGGAGUUACUGGGCGUAAAGGGCGUGUAGGCGGAUACUUAAGUCGGAUGUGAAAUCCCUGGGCUCAACCUAGGAACUGCAUUCGAUACUGGGUAUCUAGAGUAUGGUAGAGGAAAGUGGAAUUCCCGGUGUAGCGGUGAAAUGCGUAGAUAUCGGGAAGAACACCAGUGGCGAAGGCGACUUUCUGGACCAAUACUGACGCUGAGGCGCGAAAGCGUGGGGAGCAAACAGGAUUAGAUACCCGCGUA